rnacentral:misc_RNA from 1 species
CUUCAUCAGCAAGUUUGUCUCCCGAAAUUGUUUUCUUUGGCCUUUUCCCGCGUGUCGCUGCUACUGCCUGCCUCUUUCGCCAUCGCCGCCGCUUCCAUGCACCGCGCGCACACAGGCACGGAAGAGAGAAGGGAGGAGGUGACUGCACUCAGUGGGUGAGAGGAGGUCUGCGUCACAGGUGCGGUCACCGAGACUGGUUCAGACUACGUCGUUGCGAUAUUCGUUAUUGAUCCUCCCCCUCUGCACUUGUUUCUCCCCAUCACUCUCCUCCCGUGGCGUCUUGCUGUGCACUCUCCCUUUACCGCUGCGAAGUGACGCUACUGCUGUUGCACUGCCUCUGUAGAGGCCCCCCUUCCCUCCCCCCUUGUGUGCGCUGGCAUCCGCCGCAGAGCCGCUGACACCCCAGUGACGGUGCGCGCACACAAUCGGCUAGUUCCUCGCAGCCUCACCAGGGCGCCGUGCAAAGCCGAUGACGUGGAUGACCGAUACGAAAGCGUUGCUUGCGGAUUAGAACCACUGUCGGCAGAGGAGCAACGGGUGCUGCACGAACUGCUCGCCGCCGUCGGCCGCUCCGCAGUCGGCCGCUCCGCCAUGGGCCAGUGCAGCACCCCAGAGCUGCCUCUAUCGGGCAUGGAGUACUCAGACAACAAGGACGGCGUGACAGUCCAUUCACGAGGUUCGCACUCCGCCGUGGGAGGCGAGGAAAGCUUGGAGGGAGGAGGAGCUCGGGUGCGACAUAGCGGCAUCGGUGGCGCGAGGACGCGUCGGUCCGUCGUGGAGGGGAACACGUUUCGCCUUUCAAGCUCCGCAUUAGCCCGCGGGUUGGAAUGCUGCCUCGUCUCGCUUCUGUGCCCAAAUGCGCUCACCUACCUGCACGGCGGCCGUAGUACUCCUUCGCCGCGCGUUUCUGCGCACGGCUAGUGAUGACGGAGGCACCUCUUGUCCCCACACCCAAGGCGCAUACACACGCAGGCAGUAGGAUCAAUGAUCUCUCCUUGUAUCGACUCGGUUGUACGACAAAUUCAGUUUAUCGCUGCCCUUUCGGGUGACGUGCUUCUUCUCUGCCUCCCCUUCGUCCCGCGCUCUUCUCUCUCCGUGUUUCCUCCGUUCCUUCUCUCCCAUGUCACAGAAGAUCGCCAACGCCAACAAAACCGCCGUCACUACUCGCGCUGUCCAUUUCCGUGCAGUCGCUCAUUGUUAUCGCUUCUCUCCCGUUCUAUUCCGCUUCCCUCUCCCGUGCUCUUUUCACCGUCUUUGGCUCUUUAGGGUUUGACCCCGUGCCCCCUCCCUCUCUCUCAGCAUUCUGUGCUUCGCGGGUGGCCCCUCACGAAAGCCCCCUCCCCUCUUCCCUCCCGCGGCAUCUCUCUCUCUCUAUGCUUCCGUGCUGUUAGCCCGUCAGCACAACUCUGCGCAAACUUUUUGUCCCUGCCCUUGUGCGGUGCGUUUUUGUUGUUCCCGCGUGCGCGUGUUCGAUUCGCUCUCCCUCUCGGUCUUCAGUCCGGCGGCUCACACGACGGCGUGUAGAUAGGCAGGAUAUCCGAUGCGCAGUCGAAGUGGGAGGGGGUGUACUGGAAGGAAACCGGUUCCGUGAGGGGCUUGGCUGAGGAAGUGGAGAAGCGAGAGGAUCAGCCGUGUGCACUCUCUCCACCCCAUCUCCGCCAUCUUUCCGUCUACUUCAAAGUGCUUUUGGGCGAUGCACCAUGGAGCGCGGAAUCGAAUCGUUUUCCUGGCGUUCGUUUGCGCAUGUGCCCGUGUCUUGUCUUUACGCCCCUCUUCUGUGUUUCAAUGCGAGGAGGCGGCGUACUGCAGAUCCUUCUCUCUUCUGCGUGUCUCCUACACUUGUUCUUACUGCCCAUCGCUCUCUCGCCCCACCGUUGAGUGCGUGCGACCGUCUACGUGUGCGUCCUUUCUCUCCUAUUCUGUCGGUCUCUUCGUCUGUGUGUCUACGUCGCACCUUGAAGAAAAAAGCGAAGCACAGAAACGCACUGACUGCAUUCUAAGCCACGCCUCGCAGGCGAUGUGUGCGCGUGAAGGCGUGCACCACCGAGCAACACCAGCUACAAGUCGCCGCAGCCCGUCUCUUUCUCCUUACCCUUACUUCUGUACGUGUUCAACUCCCUCUGCUUCAAUCUUUCCACAUACGUGCCUCUCCCUCCUCCCACCUACAAAG